CCUACGGGUGGCAGCAGUCGAGAAUCAUUCACAAUGGGGGAAACCCUGAUGGGGCGACGCCGCGUGGGGGAAUGAAGGUCUGCGGAUUGUAAACCCCUGUCAUGUGGGAGCAAAUUAAAAAGAUAGUACCACAAGAGGAAGAGACGGCGAACGCGGUGCCAGCAGCCGCGGUAAUACAGAGGUCUCAAGCGUUGUUCGGAAUCACUGGGCGUAAAGGGUGCGUAGGCAGUUUCGUAAGUCGUGUGUGAAAGGCGCGGGCGCAACCCGCGGACGGCACAUGAUACUGCGAGACUAGCGUAAUGGAGGGGGAACCGGACUUCUCGGUGUAGCCG
rnacentral:rRNA from 1 species